rnacentral:rRNA from 1 species
UACGUAGGUGGCGAGCGUUGUCCGGAUUUACUGGGCGUAAAGGGAGCGUAGGCGGACUUUUAAGUGAGAUGUGAAAUACCCGGGCUUAACUUGGGUGCUGCAUUUCAAACUGGAAGUCUAGAGUGCAGGAGAGGAGAAUGGAAUUCCUAGUGUAGCGGUGAAAUGCGUAGAGAUUAGGAAGAACACCAGUGGCGAAGGCGAUUCUCUGGACUGUAACUGACGCUGAGGCUCGAAAGCGUGGGGAGCAAACAGGAUUAGAUACCCCUGUA